rnacentral:rRNA from 1 species
AUGGCGUCGUUGGUGCCCGGUGUCCUCGUCAAGCUCCUUCAGCAUAUGAACACGGAUGUCAAAGUCGCAGGAGAGCAUCGGUCGUCCCUUCUUCAGGUCGUCAGCAUUGUGCCGGCACUUUCAGGGAGUGAUCUUUUCACCAACCAAGGGUUCUACCUCAAGGUGUCCGAUUCUUCGCACGCCACAUAUGUGACCCUUCCCGAGGAACAGCAUGAUCUCAUCUUGAGCGACAAGAUUCAGUUAGGGCAGUUCAUCCAUGUUGAUCGCCUUGAGGCGGCCACUCCGGUACCCAUCCUUUGGGGAGUUCGGCCAGUUCCUGGCCGUCAUCCUUGUGUAGGCAACCCUGAGGACCUUGUGUUAACUAGCUCUUCCAAAGUUGCCGGCAGCAAGAAAGCACAACCGGCCAAUGGAUCGAAACCAACCAAUGGAUUGAAAGAUGCUGGCGUCUUGUCGCUAGAGAAGGAAAAGAGCAAGUUAGAGAAAAUAAAUGCUCCCCACAAAACCGUUGGGACAGAAAAUAAGAAACCGGUGCUGACCAAAUCAAAAUCCUCACUGUCAAAACAGGCUUUGAAUGGGGUUACUGAGAAGAAGGAAACAGUGAAACCAAAGGCAAGACCUGCUCGUGUUAGAUCAACACCUUCAUCUCCAACCAGUGUCUAUUCUCUACCUGCAACAUUUGACAGAUUUUCUAGUGAUCUAAGACAGAGACAUGGGGUAAAAGGACCAGAGAAAGCAUCAUCUUCUAGGCUCUCCUUGUUAGAAAGGGCAGCUUCAGUUCUGAAGGUCACUACUGCAGGGAGAAGGUCCUCUGCGGUUAACUCAAUCAGUAGCUCUGUGCUGGGUAUUGGAUCAGGGCCAAAGGCAUUGCGAAGAAGCUGGGAAGGAGCUGUAGAUACAAAAGGGAAAAAUAAUUCAGACUCAAAGACGACCAAAGCUGACAGGAAACCUGAGAACAGGGGCCCAACGACUCCUAGAAGAAAGCCACCAGUGAACGAGAAGGUGACACAUAAAGACGACAGUAAGAUUCAUAACCCUGCUAGAAAGAGCACGUCAAGUGCUCCUGCUCCUCCAGUCGAUGCUGACAAAGCACCGAAGAAGCAUCCUCCUACUCUAAAGAGGACAUCUGGGGGUUUAAGCAACCCAAAUGUUACAAAUUUGGUUAAGAUUCCACCAAACAGCAAAAAACUGACAGAUGUCGGCAAUUCAUGGGCAUCACUUCCUCCGUCACUUGCCAAACUAGGAAAGGAGCUUCUGAAGUACAGAGAAUCGGCGCAGGUGGCUGCUGUUGAAGCCAUGCAGGAAGCUUCUGCUGCAGAAAGCUUGCUGAGAUGUUUGAGCUCGUACGCUGAGGUGAGCUCGACGGCGGAGGAGCAGAACCCGCAGCCGACCGUUGAGCAGUUCCUCGCCCUCCACAGCUCGCUCUCCCGCGCCACGGUGAUCACUGACACCCUCACCAAGUCAGCAGUCCCGCCGGAAUGCUCAGCGGCCAGCGACGCCGGGACGGUGGUCUCUGCCACGGACGAUGAGGCCGCUGCUGCAGUCGCAGCGGAGCGGCAGCGCCGGGCCAAGUCUUGGGUUAACGCUGCGCUCGCCACGGACCUCUCUGGCUUCGGGCUCUACAACCUCAAGCCCGUCCCGGCCACGGUGUCAUCGCCGCUGGCGGUGGUCGUCGUUGACGAGUCGGCGAAGCCAGUUGCGGCGUCCCCCAAUGCCGUGAAGUCGUUGUCUCCAGCGGCGAAGUCACGGAUGUCCCCGGCAAAGGGGAAGCCGAGGACGGGCCCGGGGGCCACGGCAGCCGCGGUGACGCCCGCCCCGCCGGAGUGGGAGAGGGGAGUAGGCGCGGAGGAGAGGGGCCAGCUGGCUCGGCGGCUCGGGGAGGAGUCCCGGGGGUGGUUCCUCGGGUUCGUGGAGCGGUUCCUGGACGCCGACGUGUCGGCAGCGGCGCCGUGGGACCGCGAGCGCGCGGCCAGGAUGCUCCCGCAGCUGAAGCGCGUCAACGACUGGCUCGGCGAGAUCGGGACGCGCGGCGAGGCGCCGCCGCCGCCGCCGCCGGCGCAGGACGGGGACGAGGAGGCCGCGGCCGCUGCUGCGUCGGCCAACGGCUGCGGCGUGCCCGAGGAGACGAUCGAACGGCUGAGGAAGAAGAUCUACGAGUUCCUCCUCACCAACGUCGACUCAGCUGCCGCGGUGCUCGGCGGCGCGGCAGCCCCGCCGGCCCCGGCGCCGGCGAGCGGGAAGAAGUCGUGA